GGAAGGAGCUGUUAAUAUGCUGUGGCAAGCGGGAAUCAUUAAAUAGACAAGGACAAGGGUUCUAUUAGUGGGUAUCUGUGUUCCUGCCUGUUAUCCGGGAGUCUUUAAACAGGCUAACAGGAAAUGAGGUACAAGCCUGCCAUUUAAACAGCAGGACACAACAAUGCCUCCAAAUGUCAAGGUUUUUUUCAACAUUGCCUGAACUGAUUUCCUCCCCUGGCCAACUGUGGACUAUAAAUACAAAGGAAACGGUGACCUGCAAAGAAAUGAGUGAAUGCCUGAUUGACCUCCGCGCCUCACCUUGGAGAAUGGGGAGCUCUGACAAGGUGGCCCACUUU